UUUUUUUUUAUUUUAAAGUGAAAUACUACAUCCAUUUAUUCCAAAAAAUGAAAUUUCCUGGGUAAGGCAUCUGUAAUACUACUUCUGGUAUCAUAAUUCUAAAAAAUGGUUAGGUAGUCAGUCACCUUUGUCAAUACAUUUAGGUAUUAAAACAAGGAUUGUUCAUGAUAUAUAUUGUGAAGAGAGAUAAAUGGGCCAAAUGCUGAAACAUGCAUGACUACUAACAACAUGAGUAUUUAAUGAAAAUUUAGAAUAUAAUAACACAUGACUUUCAUUCUGAGGACAGACAUAAAGGAAAAAAUACAGUAAUCCAUUUUACCCAUUACAUUUUACAAAACGAGACAGUGAAUUUCUAAGCAGUGCUCCUUUAAUAAAAACAGUAAUUUAAUUUCAAAUAAAUAUAUUACCAUUUUAUUCCUUUAUCUUUUAUAUGUAUGUGAUUGGCAAAAACUAUGAAAUUACUAAAAUCAGUAGCAAUCUAAUCUAUGAUAUUUCAUUUGCCUGGAUCAAUAAAUGUCUUACAUUUGAAACUCAUUUCUCUCAUAUUAAAAGUCUGAUUAUCAGUUCCUAUAAAAAUGCUGUGCCCUACUCCUUAGUCUCGUGGGACUGGUAAUAGAACAAGGUCAAGUGCUAGUACUUCUGAACACCCACAUGAUUCCUCAUGACAUGUGCUCUUGGCUCUUGUCAUACACAACCACCAACAGGCAAGCAGCUCCCCUAGUUCUCUUGUUCUUCAUAGUGAGCAUAGCCACUGGCAUAGGUCCUUCCUAAAUUCAAAUUAGUAAAUAAAUCAGAUGAUUCAGCAUCUGAAUCCUUUCCACCUUCAUCUUCUUCCUCUUCGUCAUCCUCUGCGUCAUAUUCAUCAUCAUCCUCAUCACGGUAGCCUGCAUCACUGUACUUGUCGGAUGAAAGGUUCUUCCAAUAAGCAUCAUAACCAGAAGCUCCAUCCCCCUCUUCAACUCCAGUCUGACGGCCAAAUUUCAGUGAGCGUGUUGACAUGCUAAGAUCCUUUGUUUCCUGAGUUUCAUGUCCACAUUUAGGGCAAGGAGGCUGUUUUCCUUUUUCCUGCUUAAACACCUUACUCCUUGUAUGUUCAUCACAGAAACAAGCCUUACAACGAAGACAUGAAUGCUGACCAAGACGAUUGCAUGAGACACAUUUAAAUGUUUCUGCCUCUAUGACACUGCAAGGAGCCAUAUAGAAAUAAGGAAGUUUGGUUCCAAUAACCCU
rnacentral:lncRNA from 1 species